rnacentral:rRNA from 1 species
AUUGAACGCUGGCGGCAUGCCUUACACAUGCAAGUCGAACGGUAACGGGCCUUCGGGUGCCGACGAGUGGCGAACGGGGGAGCAGUGCAUCGGAACGUACCUUUCAGUGGGGGAUAACGUAGCGAGAGUUACGCUAAUAACGCAUAUUCUGUGAGCAGGCAAGCAGGAGAUCGGAAGACCUUGCGCUGAUUGAGCGGCCGAUGUCAGAUUAGCUAGUUGGUGAGGUAACGGCUCACCAAGGCGACGAUCUGUAGCGGGUCUGAGAGGAUGAGCCGCCACACUGGAACUGAGACACGGUCCAGACUCCUACGGGAGGCAGCAGUGGGGAAUUUUGGACAGUGGGGGCAACCCUGAUCCAGCCAUGCCGCGUGAGUGAAGAAGGCCUUCGGGUUGUAAAGCUCUUUCGGCCGGGAAGAAAUCGUAUGGGCUAAUACCCUGUGCGGAUGACGGUACCGGCAUAAGAAGCACCGGCUAACUACGUGCCAGCCGCCGCGGUAACAC